rnacentral:rRNA from 1 species
UUUUAUGGAGAGUUUGAUCCUGGCUCAGGAUGAACGCUGGCGGCGUGCCUAAUACAUGCAAGUCGAGCGAACGGACGAGAAGCUUGCUUCUCUGAUGUUAGCGGCGGACGGGUGAGUAACACGUGGAUAACCUACCUAUAAGACUGGGAUAACUUCGGGAAACCGGAGCUAAUACCGGAUAAUAUUUUGAACCGCAUGGUUCAAAAGUGAAAGACGGUCUUGCUGUCACUUAUAGAUGGAUCCGCGCUGCAUUAGCUAGUUGGUAAGGUAACGGCUUACCAAGGCAACGAUGCAUAGCCGACCUGAGAGGGUGAUCGGCCACACUGGAACUGAGACACGGUCCAGACUCCUACGGGAGGCAGCAGUAGGGAAUCUUCCGCAAUGGGCGAAAGCCUGACGGAGCAACGCCGCGUGAGUGAUGAAGGUCUUCGGAUCGUAAAACUCUGUUAUUAGGGAAGAACAUAUGUGUAAGUAACUGUGCACAUCUUGACGGUACCUAAUCAGAAAGCCA